UUUUUUUUUUUUGGUCUUUUUAGGACUCCACCCGCAAUAUAUGGAAGUUCCCAAGGCUAGGGGCUGAAUCAGAACUGCAGCUGCUGGCCUAAACCACAGCCACAGCAAUGCCAGAUCUGAGCCGUGUCUGAAACCUAUAGCACAGCUCACGGACAAUACCAGAUCCUUAAUCCACUGAGUGAAGCCAGGGAUUGAACUCACAUCCUCAUGGAUACCAGUUGGGUUUAUUACUUCUGAGCCAUGAUGGGAAAUUCCUAACAAGUAAUCUUCAACAAUGGUUAGAUUACACAUAAGCAAAAGGAUAUCCCUCAGUAUUUAAAGAAUACUUAUUUUAUAUCACACAAAAAUCAAAUCCAAAUGGAUUAAGACUUAAACACAAAACAUGAAAUCAUAACACAGCUAGAAGAUAACAUAAAAAGAAAUGCUUCUUCACAUUGGUCUUUCUCUGAGAAUGAUAUUUUGGAUCUGACACCAAAAGAAUAGGCAACAGAAGCAAAAAUAAACAAAUAGGACCACAUCAAACUAAAUAUUUCUACCGGGUAAAGGAAACAAUCAACAAAAAGAAAAGGCAUCUUACUGAAUAAGAGACAACAUUUGGAAACCACAGAUUUGAUAAGGGGUUAAUAUCAAAAAUACAUAGAGAACUCAUACAACUCAACAGUAAGAAAACAAACAAAUAAAAAUAUUCAAAAAUGGGGAAAAGACCUGAAUGGAUAUGUUUCCAAAGAAGACAUAUGAAUGGCCAAACAGUAUAGGAUAAGGUUCUUGUGAUAUAGUGAUUUUAUAAGAAGUCACAUAUAUAUUUAUUUGAUUUUGCUCCCUGCUUCUGGCCAAGAGCUCUUAAAAUCCUUGGAAUUUCCAAAAGGAUGAGAACUCCUAGGAAGUCCUUUUCUUCUAAUAUUUGGUAUCUGACCUCAGUUUCUGACCCAGGGCUGCUGAAACCUUCCUAAUUUUCCACGGGAUAGGAAUGUCUUGUUCUAAUGAGGCAACUCUGGUUGGGCUGUUGGAUGGCUCCUGGUAAUGACUGGUCAGCAGAAAGACCAAGCCAUGAUAAGGAACUUGGAAUCUUCAGUCCCAUUAUACAUUCUCUUCAGAAGGACAAAGGGCUGAAAAUGGAGUUAAUCAUCUGUCAUGCCUAUGUGAUGAAGCUUCCAUUAAAAAUCCUGGUAGAGGAGUUCCCGUCGUGGCGCAGUGGUUGACGAAUCCGACUAGGAACCAUGAGGUUGCGGGUUCGGUCCCUGCCCUUGCUCAGUGGGUCAAGGUUCCGGCGUUGCCGUGAGCUGUGGUGUAGGUUGCAGAUGAGGCUCGGAUCCUGCGUUGCUGUGGCUCUGGCGUAGGCUGGCAGCUACAGGUCCGAUUAGACCCCUAGCCUGGGAAUCUCCAUAUGCCAGCACUGGCCCAAGAAAUGGCAAAAACCAACAAAAAAAAAUCAUGGUAGAAGGCAGUAUAGAUAGCUUUCAAGUCAGGGAACACAUCCAUACACCAGUGGCAUGAUGCACCCCAGUUCUACAGGGAUAGAAGCUCCUGAGCUUAGGACCCUCACAGACCUCUCCCUAUGGGUCUCCUCAUCUGGCUGUUCAUCUGUAUCUUUUAGCAUGUCCUUUAAUAACCUGGUAAAAUUAAGUGUUUCCCUGAGUUCUAUGAGCCACACUAGUAAAUAAUCAAAUCCAAGGGUGGGGGGAGGUCCAUGGGAACCUCUGGUUUACAGCCUGAUCAUACAGAAGUUGCGGGUAACUUGGGGACCUACUACUAGUGAUUAGCAUCUGAAGUGGGGAGCACACUGGCGGGACUGAGUCAUUGGCCUGUGGGAUCUGACACUGUCUCCAGUCUCCAGGGGUAGAUAGAAUGAGAAGUGAGUUAAACUGUAGGACAACUAGCUGCUUCGAAGAGACUUUUUUGUGGGGAACACUCCCCACAUAUUUGGUGACCAGAAGUGUCAAAAGUGAAAUGUUCAGUUUAAGUACAAAGUAGACACACUAGAGGAACAAACUGUAGGUUUUCCCCUACAUAGGCCUCAGCACCACCAACCAUCAGGGGAAUGCAAGUGAAAAAUCACAAUGAAAUACCACCUCACACCUAUAAGCAUGGUUAUUAUUAAAAAAAAAAAAACCUCUGAAUAUAAAGUUUUGGCAAGGACUUAGAUAAUUGGGAACCUUUAUAUCCUGUUGGGUAUGUAAACUACUAUAGCACAAUUAUGGAAAACAGCAUGAAGGUCAAUAAAAAAUAACACAUGAUUCAACAAUCCCACUUCUGAUUAUAUAUCCAAAGGAAAUGAAAUAACUUGCUCAGAGAAAUAUCUGCAUUCCCAUGUUCACCACAACAUUAAACACAAUAGCCAAGACCUGGAGACAACCUAAGUGCCUGUUGACAGAUGAAUGGAUAAAGAAAAUGUGAUGUAUAUGUAGACAAAAGAAUAUUAUUAAGCCUUUUAAAAGAAGGAUAUCCUAACACUUGCAGCCACAUGAAUGAACUCAGAAGAUAUUAUACUAAGUGAAAUAGGCAAGACAGAGAAAAACAAUAUUGCAUGACCUCACUUAUAGGUGAAGUCUAAACAAGUCUAACUUAGAAACAGAGAGUAGAAUGGUGGUUACCAGGGGCUAGAGGUUUGGGACAAAUGGAGAGAUGUUGAUCCAAGGGGACAAAGUUCAGUUAUGCAAGAGGUAUAAAUGCUGGAUCUAAUGUACAACAUAGUGACUACAGUUAAUAAUUAUGUAUUAUAUACAUCAAAUUUGCUGAGAGAGUAGAUCUCAAAUAUUCUCCCCAUACAAUGAAAAGAAAGAAUAAGUAUUCAUAGUAUAGUUGGUGGACAAAGGGCACAGCAGGGGGAGGCUUAAGCUGUCACCAAAAAUCAAAAACAGUGAGUCCAAAUGUUCAUUACAAGGAAAAACAUGGGUAAGAGAAUGGGCAUUCACCUUUGUUUAUCUUUACAUAAAGAAACACUUGCAGGAUGCUCAAGAAAUCCAAAGGUAUGUAUUUGAGAGUGGCUGGAGUAACAGCACUGGAGGAGACCAGGAUAUGUGGGCAGUGCAUCUUCUCAAGUUAGAUUUACCUAU
rnacentral:lncRNA from 1 species